UUAUAAAUGAUGUUAGUAUAUCGACUUUCCCGCUUUGUGUUCGAAUUUGACGUGCUUCAACUUUUGGACCAAUGAGGGCUGCGGAGGCGGUCACGUGACGGCGGCUCCCGACCAGCUGAAGGUGUUGUGUUUACUUCUGAGUGAUCGGGAAGUCGGGCGUUGUGAUCGGGAUAACUAGCCUCGAGCCUCAGUGCACCACACUAACCACGGGUGUUCUGCACCCUCUUCGCGCUAUAAGAACUCCCUAGAGUGACAAUGUCGGGUGCGGGGACCGGAGAACGUGAGGGGAGGAGCAGCCGCCGCCCCAGCCCCCUGAGAGCCACGGUGCCCCUACAGGCGAUGCACCGUACCAGUCCUCUGCGUUUGAGGAACAGGAUCUCACCUGACACAGAAAUCACACCCAGUCUGGACUUAAGCACUGCCACCACAACAAAAGUGACAGUUCCAUCAAGCAGUAU
rnacentral:misc_RNA from 1 species